AAGGAGUCGUCUUCGUAUGCGAGUGUUCGGGUGUAAAACCCCUACGCGUAAUGAAAGUGAACGCAGGUGAGAGCUUCGGCGCAUCCCCGACCGAUCCUGAUGUUCUCGGAUGGAUUUGAGUAAGAGCAUACGUGUCCGGACCCGAAAGAUGGUGAACUAUGCCUGUAUAGGGUGAAGCCAGAGGAAACUCUGGUGGAGGCUCGCAGCGGUUCUGACGUGCAAAUCGAUCGUCAAAUAUGGGCAUAGGGGCGAAAGACUAAUCGAACCUUCUAGUAGCUGGUUUCCGC
rnacentral:misc_RNA from 1 species